CGGGGGAGGAUGUCGACUGGAGGUUGUGCCCUUGAGGCGUGGCUUCCGGAGCUAACGCGUUAAGUCGACCGCCUGGGGAGUACGGCCGCAAGGUUAAAACUCAAAUGAAUUGACGGGGGCCCGCACAAGCGGUGGAGCAUGUGGUUUAAUUCGAUGCAACGCGAAGAACCUUACCUGGUCUUGACAUCCACGGAAGUUUUCAGAGAUGAGAAUGUGCCUUCGGGAACCGUGAGACAGGUGCUGCAUGGCUGUCGUCAGCUCGUGUUGUGAAAUGUUGGGUUAAGUCCCGCAACGAGCGCAACCCUUAUCCUUUGUUGCCAGCGGUCCGGCCGGGAACUCAAAGGAGACUGCCAGUGAUAAACUGGAGGAAGGUGGGGAUGACGUCAAGUCAUCAUGGCCCUUACGACCAGGGCUACACACGUGCUACAAUGGCGCAUACAAAGAGAAGCGACCUCGCGAGAGCAAGCGGACCUCAUAAAGUGCGUCGUAGUCCGGAUUGGAGUCUGCAACUCGACUCCAUGAAGUCGGAAUCGCUAGUAAUCGUGGAUCAGAAUGCCACGGUGAAUACGUUCCCGGGCCUUGUACACACCGCCCGUCACACCAUGGGAGUGGGUUGCAAAAGAAGUAGGUAGCUUAACCUUCGGGAGGGCGCUUACCACUUUGUGAUUCAUGACUGGGGUGAAGUCGUACGGGGAACCCCCGAAAAAGUUGGAGGUCCCACGGGUUUUAAGAAAUAGAAACUGUUUCCCU
rnacentral:rRNA from 1 species